GGCUCCGUGGCUUAAUGGUUACGGCUUCUGCCUCACAAGCAGAAGGUUCAAGGAUCAAAUCCCGGCCGGUACCU
rfam:Culex pipiens quinquefasciatus supercont3.6 genomic scaffold, whole genome shotgun sequence.